UACGGAGGAUGCAAGUGUUAUCCGGAAUCACUGGGCGUAAAGCGUCUGUAGGUGGUUUAAUCAGUCAACUGUUAAAUCUUGAGGCUCAACCUCAAAAUCGCAGUCGAAACUAUUAGGCUAGAGUAUAGUAGGGGUAAAGGGAAUUUCCAGUGGAGCGGUGAAAUGCGUAGAGAUUGGAAAGAACACCGAUGGCGAAGGCACUUUACUGGGCUAUUACUAACACUCAGAGACGAAAGCGAGGGUAGCAAAUGGG
rnacentral:rRNA from 1 species